CGGGACACGUGGUAUCCUGUCUGAAUAUGGGGGGACCAUCCUCCAAGGCUAAAUACUCCUGACUGACCGAUAGUGAACCAGUACCGUGAGGGAAAGGCGAAAAGAACCCCGGCGAGGGGAGUGAAAAAGAACCUGAAACCGUGUACGUACAAGCAGUGGGAGCACAGAGCAAUCUGUGUGACUGCGUACCUUUUGUAUAAUGGGUCAGCGACUUAUAUUCUGUAGCAAGGUUAACCGAAUAGGGGAGCCGAAGGGAAACCGAGUCUUAACCGGGCGUUAAGUUGCAGGGUAUAGACCCGAAACCCGGUGAUCUAGCCAUGGGCAGGUUGAAGGUUGGGUAACACUAACUGGAGGACCGAACCGACUAAUGUUGAAAAAUUAGCGGAUGACUUGUGGCUGGGGGUGAAAGGCCAAUCAAACCGGGAGAUAGCUGGUUCUCCCCGAAAGCUAUUUAGGUAGCGCCUCGUGAAUUCAUCUCCGGGGGUAGAGCACUGUUUCGGCAAGGGGGUCAUCCCGACUUACCAACCCGAUGCAAACUGCGAAUACCGGAGAAUGUUAUCACGGGAGACACACGGCGGGUGCUAACGUCCGUCGUGAAGAGGGAAACAACCCAGACCGCCAGCUAAGGUCCCAAAGUCAUGGUUAAGUGGGAAACGAUGUGGGAAGGCCCAGACAGCCAGGAUGUUGGCUUAGAAGCAGCCAUCAUUUAAAGAAAGCGUAAUAGCUCACUGGUCGAGUCGGCCUGCGCGGAAGAUGUAACGGGGCUAAACCAUGCACCGAAGCUGCGGCAGCGACACUGUGUGUUGUUGGGUAGGGGAGCGUUCUGUAAGCCUGUGAAGGUGUGCUGUGAGGCAUGCUGGAGGUAUCAGAAGUGCGAAUGCUGACAUAAGUAACGAUAAAGCGGGUGAAAAGCCCGCUCGCCGGAAGACCAAGGGUUCCUGUCCAACGUUAAUCGGGGCAGGGUGAGUCGACCCCUAAGGCGAGGCCGAAAGGCGUAGUCGAUGGGAAACAGGUUAAUAUUCCUGUACUUGGUGUUACUGCGAAGGGGGGACGGAGAAGGCUAUGUUGGCCGGGCGACGGUUGUCCCGGUUUAAGCGUGUAGGCUGGUUUUCCAGGCAAAUCCGGAAAAUCAAGGCUGAGGCGUGAUGACGAGGCACUACGGUGCUGAAGCAACAAAUGCCCUGCUUCCAGGAAAAGCCUCUAAGCAUCAGGUAACAUCAAAUCGUACCCCAAACCGACACAGGUGGUCAGGUAGAGAAUACCAAGGCGCUUGAGAGAACUCGGGUGAAGGAACUAGGCAAAAUGGUGCCGUAACUUCGGGAGAAGGCACGCUGAUAUGUAGGUGAAGUCCCUCGCGGAUGGAGCUGAAAUCAGUCGAAGAUACCAGCUGGCUGCAACUGUUUAUUAAAAACACAGCACUGUGCAAACACGAAAGUGGACGUAUACGGUGUGACGCCUGCCCGGUGCCGGAAGGUUAAUUGAUGGGGUCAGCGCAAGCGAAGCUCUUGAUCGAAGCCCCGGUAAACGGCGGCCGUAACUAUAACGGUCCUAAGGUAGCGAAAUUCCUUGUCGGGUAAGUUCCGACCUGCACGAAUGGCGUAAUGAUGGCCAGGCUGUCUCCACCCGAGACUCAGUGAAAUUGAACUCGCUGUGAAGAUGCAGUGUACCCGCGGCAAGACGGAAAGACCCCGUGAACCUUUACUAUAGCUUGACACUGAACAUUGAGCCUUGAUGUGUAGGAUAGGUGGGAGGCUUUGA
rnacentral:rRNA from 1 species